rnacentral:rRNA from 1 species
GGCUGCCAUGCCGGAGGGUUGAAGAAGGCCUUCGGAUAGUAAAGCACUUUCAGCGGGGAGGAAGGCGAUAAGCUUAAUACCCUCAUCGAUUGACGUUACCCGCAGAAGAAGCACCGGUUAACUCCGUGCCAGCAGCCGCUGUAAUACGGAGGGUGCAAGCGUUAAUUCGAAUUACUGGGAGUAAAGCGCACGCAGGCGGUAUGUCAAGUUGGAUGUGAAAUCCCCGGGCUCAACCUGGGAACUGCAUUCGAAACUGGCAGGCUAGAGUCUUGUAGAGGGGGGUAGAAUUCCAGGUGUAGCGGUGAAAUGCGUAGAGAUAUGGAGGAAUACCGGUGGCGAAGGCGGCCCCCUGGACAAAGACUGACGCUCAGGUGCGAAAGCGUGGCGAGCAAACAGGAUUAGAUACCCUGGUAGUCCACGCUGUAAACGAUGUCGAUUUGGAGGUUGUGCCCAUGAGGCGUGGCUUCCGGAGCUAACGCGUUAAAUCGACCGCCUGGGGAGUACGGCCGCAAGGUUAAAACUCAAAUGAAUUGACGGGGGCCCGCACAAGCGGUGGAGCAUGUGGUUUAAUUCGAUGCAACGCGAAGAACCUUACCUGGUCUUGACAUCCACAGAACUUAGCAGAGAUGGUUUGGUGCCUUCGGGAACUGUGAGACAGGUGCUGCAUGGCUGUCGUCAGCUCGUGUUGUGAAAUGUUGGGUUUAGUCCCGCAACGAGCGCAACCCCUAUCCUUUGUUGCCAGCGGUUAGGCCGGGAACUCAAAGGAGACGCCAGUGGAUAAACUGGAGGAAGGUGGGGAUGACGUCAAGUCAUCAUGGCCCUUACGACCAGGGCUACACACGUGCUACAAUGGCAUAUACAAAGAGAAGCGACCUCGCGAGAGCAAGCGGACCUCAUAAAGUAUGUCGUAGUCCGGAUUGGAGUCUGCAACUCGACUCCAUGAAGUCGGAAUCGCUAGUAAUCGUAGAUCAGAAUGCUACGGUGAAUACGUUCCCGGGCCUUGUACACACCGCCCGUCACACCAUGGGGAGUGGGUUGCAAAAGAAGUAGGUAGCUUACCUUCGGGAGGGCGCUUACCACUUUUGUGAUUCAUGACUGGGGUGAAGUCGUAAACAAGUACCUAG